rnacentral:rRNA from 1 species
GAUGAACGCUGGCGGCGUGCCUAAUACAUGCAAGUCGAGCGAACAGACGAGGAGCUUGCUCCUCUGACGUUAGCGGCGGACGGGUGAGUAACACGUGGAUAACCUACCUAUAAGACUGGGAUAACUUCGGGAAACCGGAGCUAAUACCGGAUAAUAUAUUUAACCGCAUGGUUCAAUAGUGAAAGACGGUUUUGCUGUCACUUAUAGAUGGAUCCGCGCCGCAUUAGCUAGUUGGUAAGGUAACGGCUUACCAAGGCAACGAUGCGUAGCCGACCUGAGAGGGUGAUCGGCCACACUGGAACUGAGACACGGUCCAGACUCCUACGGGAGGCAGCAGUAGGGAAUCUUCCGCAAUGGGCGAAAGCCUGACGGAGCAACGCCGCGUGAGCGAUGAAGGUCUUCGGAUCGUAAAACUCUGUUAUUAGGGAAGAACAAAUGUGUAAGUAACUAUGCACGUCUUGACGGUACCUAAUCAGAAAGCCACGGCUAACUACGUG